rnacentral:rRNA from 1 species
AUCGAACGCUGGCGGCUGGCCUAAUACAUGCAAGUCGAGCGGAGCGGCGGACGGGUGAGUAAUGCCUAGGAAUUUCCCUGUCAGUGGCGGAUACCGUCCGGAACUGGGCCCUAAUACCGCAUACUUUCAGAUCAGCCUCGGUCGGAUUGGCUAGUUGGUGGGGUAAAGGCCUACCAAGGUGGUGAUCCGUAACUGGUCUGAGUGGAUGAUCCGUCAAACUGGAAGUGAGACACGGUCCAGACUCCUACGGGAGGCAGCAGUGGGGAAUAUUGGACAAUGGGCGAAGGCCUGAUCGAGACAUGCCGCGUGGGGGAAGAAGGUCUUCGGAUUGUAAAACACUUUAAGUUGGGAGGCGGUACCAACAGAGUAAGCAACGGCUAACUUCGUGACAGCAGCCGCGGUAAUAC